GCGAGAGUGGCGGAAUGGCAUACGCACUGGCCUUAGGAGCCAGCGGCCGCAAGGCUAUAGGGGUUCAAGUCCCCUCUCUCGCACCA
rnacentral:tRNA from 1 species